GGAUCAUUACCGAGUUUAUUCACUCCCACCCUUUGUUAAUUAUACUCUUGUUGCUUUGGCGAGCCUGCCCUAGGCUACCGGCUGUCUCUGACAGCGGGUUCGUGCUCGCCAGAGGACCAAAACUCUUAUUUUUUUGUAUUGUCUAAUUCAUGAUUUAAUUCAUAUAAAACUUUCAACAACGGAUCUCUUGGUUCUGGCAUCGAUGAAGAACGCAGCGAAAUGCGAUACGUAAUGUGAAUUGCAGAAUUCAGUGAAUCAUCGAAUCUUUGAACGCACAUUGCGCCCCUUAGUAUUCUAGGGGGCAUGCCUGUUCGAGCGUCAUUUCAACCCUCAAGCUCUGCUUGGUAUUGGGUCGUGCCGUGUAGGCAGACCUUAAAGUGAGCGGCAGGACUCCAUCAGACCUGAGCGUAGUAAUUCUUCUCGCUUCUGGGACGGUGUAGGCCUUGCCUCAACCCCAAUAUUUCUCAGGUUGACCUCGGAUCAGGUAGGGUUACCCGCUGAACUUAAGCAUAUCAAUAAGCGGAGGAAAAGAAACCAACAGGGAUUGCCUUAGUAACGGCGAGUGAAGCGGCAACAGCUCAAAUUUGAAAUCUGGCCUUGGCCCGAAUUGUAAUUUGUAGAGGAUGUCUUGGGUAUGGUGCGGUCUGAGUUCCCUGGAACGGGACGCCAGAGAGGGUGAGAGCCCCGUACAGAUCAGUGCCUCUAUCCGUGUAAGACUCCUUCGACGAGUCGAGUUGUUUGGGAAUGCAGCUCAAAAUGGGUGGUAAAUUUCAUCUAAAGCUAAAUAUUGGCCAGAGACCGAUAGCGCACAAGUAGAGUGAUCGAAAGAUGAAAAGCACUUUGGAAAGAGAGUUAAACAGCACGUGAAAUUGUUGAAAGGGAAGCGCUCGCAAUCAGACUUGCGCGUAGCUGAUCAUCCGGCGUUCUCGCUGGUGCACUCGGUUGCGUUCAGGCCAGCAUCAGUUUUGGCGGUCGGACAAAGGCCCUAGGAAUGUAGCUGUUCGCAGUGUUAUAGCCUAGGGUGCAAUGCGGCCCGCUGAGACUGAG
rnacentral:rRNA from 1 species